AACCGCUUCAAACUCAAAAGACUUGACAGUAUCUCAUACACCUAGAGGAGCCUGUCCUAUAAUCGAUAACCCACGAUCAACCUUACCCCCCCUUGCACAAAUCAGCCUAUAUACCUCCGUCGCCAGUACGCCUGUUAACAGCUACAUAAGCGUAUAUAAUAGUCCACCACUAACACGACAGGUCAAGGUGUAGCUAAUGGGCGGGACAGCGAUGGGCUACAUUUUCUUCACUAGAAAACACCCAACAUGUAAUGAAAACGUCACAUAAAGGCGGAUUUAGCAGUAA
rnacentral:rRNA from 1 species